CAGACCCGCACAAGUGAUUUUCUCCGGAAUCUUGAGUAACAGAUUUUAUUGAUAUGCAUGUCAUAAUGAAGUAGACAUCAAGAAUACUCCUAUCUAUGAAAGGUCUCCACAAUUAUGAAAAGAUAUGAGCGGUCCGGGAACAUGACUGGUUCCGAUUACUAUAACAACCAACGAAGCGAAAUGACUGCGGGAGAGGAAGGUCUCUAUGGGAACGACAAUAUACCAGAGAGCGGUCAUGUGAUCGGAAAGCGUGAUGACGUAUGCCGUAACACGUGACCAGAUGACGGGCGCUCGCUGUGAAUACAGGAUAGACGCGACCACGGGAGUGAAGCGAGCACAUGAUCCAGUGACGCUUCCUUUGUUUUGAUCACAUGACCGGACCGCGAGGCCGCAAGUGGAGAAGGAGGCUAGAGACCUCAUAAGGAGGUGGUCCUGGCACACGAGUGUCAAAGACUUAUAGGAUGAUUACUGUAUAGAGACCAGCUGUGCCGGGACCAAUUAGGAAGAAAGGAGGGAUUUAUAAAUCAUGUUGAGAGAUAGAGAAGGCAUUCAGAGGAGCUGACCUUGAGAAAGACCCAGGAAGGGUCGGAACGCGUGGGUGCCCCUGUGGACUGACCUGACUAAAGGAGGACGUGGUACCAUCAAUGCCAGACCUGGAAGGCUUUUGACACCAGAGAACUCUCCAUGCUGCAGCUGGAAAACCUGAUGUUCAUAUGCUUAUAGAACUGAUUUAUCGGUUCUCACCGGCUCGUGGUAAUUACCCAUUACUCUAUUUGUUCAGGAUCUAGUCCAUUGAAGAAUGCCUUAACAGCAUGUGCUGUGCAAAUUCCAUUUUUCAUACAGUGGUUAUUGUAUAGCUGGCAGCCAUCCAGCUCCCACUGUUGUCAUUGUGUUUUUAUGUGGUGAUUUUAGUGAUUAAAAUAUGUAACCUAAGGUAAUGCA